rnacentral:rRNA from 1 species
CACGUAGGGGGCAAGCGUUGUCCGGAUUUAUUGGGCGUAAAGAGCUCGUAGGUGGUUCGGUAAGUCGGGUGUGAAACCUCCAGGCUCAACCUGGAGACGCCACCCGAUACUGCUGUGACUGGAGUCCGGUAGGGGAGCGUGGAAUUCCUGGUGUAGCGGUGAAAUGCGCAGAUAUCAGGAGGAACACCAGCGGCGAAGGCGGCGCUCUGGGCCGGUACUGACACUGAGGAGCGAAAGCGUGGGGAGCAAACAGG